UACGUAGGGUGCAAGCGUUGUCCGGAAUUAUUGGGCGUAAAGAGCUCGUAGGCGGUUUGUCACGUCGGAUGUGAAACCCUGAGGCUCAACCUCAGGCCUGCAUUCGAUACGGGCAGACUAGAAUUCGGCAGGGGAGACUGGGAUUCCUGGUGUAGCGGUGAAAUGCGCAGAUAUCAGGAGGAACACCGGUGGCGAAGGCGGGUCUCUGGACAGUUCCUGACGCUGAGGCACGAAGGUCAGGGGAGCAAACGGG
rnacentral:rRNA from 1 species